rnacentral:rRNA from 1 species
CAGUCGCCGCGGUAUUACAGAGGGUGCGAGCGUUAAUCGGAUUUACUGGGCGUAAAGCGUGCGUAGGCGGCUUCUUAAGUCGGAUGUGAAAUCCCUGAGCUUAACUUAGGAAUUGCAUUCGAUACUGGGAAGCUAGAGUAUGGGAGAGGAUGGUAGAAUUCCAGGUGUAGCGGUGAAAUGCGUAGAGAUCUGGAGGAAUACCGAUGGCGAAGGCAGCCAUCUGGCCUAAUACUGACGCUGAGGUACGAAAGCAUGGGGAGCAAACAGGAUUAGAUACCCCAGUAGUCCCUGUCUCUUAUAC